AUUAUUACCCGAGCCGACUGGGGCAAGUGCUAUUUGUCGAAGCUCCAUUUGUAUUUCAGCCAAUUUGGCAGCUUGCCAAGCCUUUAGUAAAGUCGUAUGCUUCUCUGGUACGGUUUUGCUCGGCGGAUGAUAUGAGAAAGGAGUAUUUUACAGAAUCAACACUUCCAGAAAGCUUUAGACAUUAACAACAUAUGCUGGUUUCUUCAUGUAUACAAAAAUCAUUCCAGUUAACCGAGACAACAUUCAAGACUUUGGAUUGGAUGGCACGAACACUAUGCUUCACCCUCCCUUUUUCAAUGCUUGCUUAUCCUUUUUACAUGUUGGCAGCAUCUGUUGAAGUUUUAAGGAAGGCGCAGUUGUGAUUGAAAAAUAGGGAAGCUUUGUGAAAUGUGAACGAGCCAUAUUGCAAUUUUAUGGGAAGAGGCGACCAUGGUGGUGGAGGUUUCUUCGUCGAUUAACUUCGUCUUUGUACCUGCUCUAGAUUCCAUUCGAUUUAGCGUUUUUUGUAGCUGGCGUUGGGUUAAUUAGGAUCGAUUGCCGCCGAAUGUUUUUAUUAGUUGUUUUCGUGGCGUUAAAUACUGGUGCUUUUCUUUGCCGAAGGUUUGAGAUGGUUAUUUUGUGAUUAAGGUACCUUAUUCUCUUAUGAUUUAAUUGAACUUAUUGUAGUGCUUUGCUUCAUGACUCAAAGUUUUUGAAUAAAGUCUUUUAAAUGAACAA